CAAAGAAGGUAAUAAUCCUGUAGUCGAAAAUGUUGUCUCUCUUGAGUGGAUCCUGAGUACGACGGAGCACGUGAAAUUCCGUCGGAAUCUGGGAGGACCAUCUCCUAAGGCUAAAUACUCUCUAGUGACCGAUAGUGAACCAGUACCGUGAGGGAAAGGUGAAAAGCACCCCGGAAGGGGAGUGAAAUAGAACCUGAAACCGUGUGCUUACAAGUAGUCAGAGCCCGUUAAUGGGUGAUGGCGUGCCUUUUGUAGAAUGAACCGGCGAGUUACGAUUUGAUGCAAGGUUAAGCAGUAAAUGUGGAGCCGUAGCGAAAGCGAGUCUGAAUAGGGCGUUUAGUAUUUGGUCGUAGACCCGAAACCAGGUGAUCUACCCUUGGUCAGGUUGAAGUUCAGGUAACACUGAAUGGAGGACCGAACCGACUUACGUUGAAAAGUGAGCGGAUGAACUGAGGGUAGCGGAGAAAUUCCAAUCGAACCUGGAGAUAGCUGGUUCUCUCCGAAAUAGCUUUAGGGCUAGCCUCAAGUGAUGAUUAUUGGAGGUAGAGCACUGUUUGGACGAGGGGCCCCUCUCGGGUUACCGAAUUCAGACAAACUCCGAAUGCCAAUUAAUUUAACUUGGGAGUCAGAACAUGGGUGAUAAGGUCCGUGUUCGAAAGGGAAACAGCCCAGACCACCAGCUAAGGUCCCAAAAUAUAUGUUAAGUGGAAAAGGAUGUGGCGUUGCCCAGACAACUAGGAUGUUGGCUUAGAAGCAGCCAUCAUUUAAAGAGUGCGUAAUAGCUCACUAGUCGAGUGACACUGCGCCGAAAAUGUACCGGGGCUAAACAUAUUACCGAAGCUGUGGAUUGUCCUUUGGACAAUGGUAGGAGAGCGUUCUAAGG
rnacentral:rRNA from 1 species